CCAGACUCCUACGGGAGGCAGCAGUGAGGAAUGUUGGUCAAUGGGCGAGAGCCUGAACCAGCCAAGUCGCGUGAGGGAAGACGGUCCUAUGGAUUGUAAACCUCUUUUGCCGGGGAGCAAAAAGCGGUACGUGUACCGCAUCGAGAGUACCCGGAGAAAAAGCAUCGGCUAACUCCGUGCCAGCAGCCGCGGUAAUACGGAGGAUGCGAGCGUUAUCCGGAUUUAUUGGGUUUAAAGGGUGCGCAGGCGGCCGGUUAAGUCAGGGGUAAAAGCCCGGGGCUCAACCCCGGCGAGCCGUUGAAACUGGCGGGCUGGAGUUGGAGAGAAGUACGCGGAAUGCGCGGUGUAGCGGUGAAAUGCAUAGAUAUCACGCAGAACUCCGAUUGCGAAGGCAGCAUGCCGGCUCCACACUGACGCUGAGGCACGAAAGCGUGGGUAUCGAACAGGAUUAGAUACCCGCGUA
rnacentral:rRNA from 1 species